UACGUAGGGUCCGAGCGUUGUCCGGAAUUAUUGGGCGUAAAGGGCUCGUAGGCGGUUUGUCACGUCGGGCGUGAAAACUCAGGGCUCAACCCUGAGCGUGCGUUCGAUACGGGCAGACUAGAGGUAUGCAGGGGAGAACGGAAUUCCUGGUGUAGCGGUGGAAUGCGCAGAUAUCAGGAGGAGCACCGGUGGCGAAGGCGGUUCUCUGGGCAUUACCUGACGCUGAGGAGCGAAAGCAUGGGGAGCGAACAGG
rnacentral:rRNA from 1 species